UGGGGAAUUUUGGACAAUGGGCGAAAGCCUGAUCCAGCAAUGCCGCGUGUGUGAAGAAGGCCUUCGGGUUGUAAAGCACUUUUGUCCGGAAAGAAAACCUCCGCCCUAAUAUGGUGGGGGGAUGACGGUACCGGAAGAAUAAGCACCGGCUAACUACGUGCCAGCAGCCGCGGUAAUACGUAGGGUGCAAGCGUUAAUCGGAAUUACUGGGCGUAAAGCGUGCGCAGGCGGUCCGCUAAGACAGAUGUGAAAUCCCCGGGCUUAACCUGGGAACUGCAUUUGUGACUGGCGGGCUAGAGUAUGGCAGAGGGGGGUAGAAUUCCACGUGUAGCAGUGAAAUGCGUAGAGAUGUGGAGGAAUACCGAUGGCGAAGGCAGCCCCCUGGGCCAAUACUGACGCUCAUGCACGAAAGCGUGGGGAGCAAACAGGAUUAGAUACCCCCGUAGUCC
rnacentral:rRNA from 1 species